rnacentral:rRNA from 1 species
GGUUAGUGGCAGACGGGUGAGUAAUGCAUAGGAAUCUACCUAGUAGUAUGGGAUAGCCACUGGAAAUGGUGGGUAAUACCGUAUAAUCCCCGCGGGGGAAAGAUUUAUCGCUAUUAGAUGAGCCUAUGUCGGAUUAGCUAGUUGGUGGGGUAAUGGCCUACCAAGGCAGUGAUCUGUAGCUGGUCUGAGAGGAUGAUCAGCCACACUGGAACUGAGACACGGUCCAGACUCCUACGGGAGGCAGCAGUGGGGAAUAUUGGACAAUGGGCGCAAGCCUGAUCCA